rnacentral:lncRNA from 1 species
AGGAACAUGUUCUAAUCCUAGUACUAAAUUAACCAAGAAAAAUUCUUCUUUCAAUUCAUAUAAGAGAGAUGGGAGUUUUUGUGAUCUUUUUGAUCUUUUGCCAAUUACAUUUUGGGUACUUUAUUUAAGGAACAACACCUUCACGUAGGAGGUUGGAGGGCCUACCCCCUUCCCCAAUCUAGAUUCAAUGGUGCCCCUUAAAAACAUCAUCGUCACGUAGGAAGUCGGAGGGCCUACCCCCUUCCCCAAUCUAGAUUAAAUGAUGCCUUUUAAAGUUUCUUUUCCAAGAUAACAUUACCUUCACGUAGGAAGUCGGAGGGCCUACCUCCUUCCCCAAUCUAGAUUCAAUAAUGCAACCUUGAAAUAAAUUUUGAGCUUGGCUUUUUAUAAUCUCCUUUAAACUAACUUAUAUUAUUUUUACUUUGAGAAUUUUUAAAGAUUAACGUACAACUAAAAUUAGAACGCAUUUCCUUAAAAUACCUAUUCAUACAUUUACUCAAGGGAAGCAACUUGUGCAUUUUUUUUAUUCACUUUAAAACAAGAUGUGGGUAUAUAAGGAGAACUUAAAACACAAGAGUUUACUUUCAUGUACAAGAAACGACCAAUAAGAGGAGACAAUAAAAAAAAAAUUAUGUCAUGAUUUUUCAAUAAAAACAAGCUACUUAAUCAUGCCUUUCACUAUGAAACAAAACAAAAAGAAUAAAGUUCAAGGGAGUUUGGAAACACUACGACUAAAGACACUUUAUUAGGCUCCCCCCACACUUAGGAGAAGCAUUGUCCUCAAUGAUUCAAGAUAGAAGAAAGAGAAGAAGGAGAAGAACGAGAUAGAGAUUGAAGAGAUAAGGUGAAAAAGAGGAAGAGGAAAGCUCACAUUUUUAUUGAGGUCCAUAGGGAGGACCUUGGAGGUGGAAGUGUUGCAUCAUGUUCCGAAGCAUUUGGUUAUUCUCUUCGGAUAUGCGGUUGCCUCUUAGGACAUCAUUCCUUAGCCCGGAUAAUUCAACACCUUGCCUUUGUUGUUCGGUGCUUAUCCUUUGUACCUCAGUUUGCAUCCAUGCCCAUCUUUCAUUGUUGGCAUUAUGGUCAUGGGGCUCCUCUUU